GAUGAACGCUGGCGGCGUGCCUAAUACAUGCAAGUCGAGCGAACGGACGAGCAGCUUGCUUCUCUGAUGUUAGCGGCGGACGGGUGAGUAACACGUGGAUAACCUACCUAUAAGACUGGGAUAACUUCGGGAAACCGGAGCUAAUACCGGAUAAUAUUUUGAACCGCAUGGUUCAACAGUGAAAGACGGUCUUGCUGUCACUUAUAGAUGGAUCCGCGCUGCAUUAGCUAGUUGGUAAGGUAACGGCUUACCAAGGCUACGAUGCAUAGCCGACCUGAGAGGGUGAUCGGCCACACUGGAACUGAGACACGGUCCAGACUCCUACGGGAGGCAGCAGUAGGGAAUCUUCCGCAAUGGGCGAAAGCCUGACGGAGCAACGCCGCGUGAGUGAUGAAGGUCUUCGGAUCGUAAAACUCUGUUAGUAGGGAAGAACAUAUGUGUAAGUAACUGUGCACAUCUUGACGGUACCUAAUCAGAAAGCCACGGCUAACUACGUG
rnacentral:rRNA from 1 species